CGUAAGCUUCUGGCUUCUAGCAACUAGAAAUUUUUAUUUAUUUAUUUUAUUUCGUUGAUCAUUCAGACAGGCUAUAUACCACAGUAUUUGAAGUAGCCUUUUGUUGGAGCUAUUGCAUAUAAAAAUCUGGCAUCAAAACUCAGUAGGAUCACAGAGAGAAGCAACUGGAUUCAGAGAGCUGUGAAGAAAAUCAGUGAGAAGUUCUUCAUUUAACUCUGAUCAUUGCUCUAGUGGGUUCUGGUUUCAUGCCAAAUACCAUGCUUACACUUGCCUGGCUCCAUCUCCUACCAUCAGAAGGCUGUGACCAUAAGAUGUGCAGCUCGAAAAGGGAGAGGAUCGUGAGCAAAGGAGAAUACGGGCCAAAAAUCCAUAAUGUUCUUAGAAUUUCAAAGAGGAUUGAAGUUAGUGUCAGAGAAGAAAACAUUGAUCCUUUUGGCUUUAAUGCUGUUGAAGAUAAUAAAGACAGCAAAAAGGAUGAUGCUUCAGCUCUAGUCAGAGGCCACUGAUAAAUUACUUUAGUAAAGCUAAUGUUAUGUGAUCACUUUUCUCUGUUUUCCUUUUUAAUAUUAUUUUGUACUUUAUUCAACUUGGAUUGCUCGUUGAACCGAUUCGGUAUAAUCCAUUCAAUCCAGCCAGGUUUUUAAAAGAUAGGAGGGCCCGGCUUUAGAUUGGAUUUUUUUUUGGGUUUGAUCUCCCAAUUGAGAGCUUAAAUUUUAUCCAUUUAUCAAUAAAUUACAAAAAAAAAUGAUGUUUUUACCA